UUUAUGGAGAGUUUGAUCCUGGCUCAGGACGAACGCUGGCGGCGUGCUUAACACAUGCAAGUCGAACGGAAAGGCCUAGCUUGCUAGGUACUCGAGUGGCGAACGGGUGAGUAACACGUGGGUGAUCUGCCUCGUACUUCGGGAUAAGCCUGGGAAACUGGGUCUAAUACUGGAUAGGACCAUGCUUUAGUGUGUGUGGUGGAAAGUUUUUUCGGUACGAGAUGAGCCCGCGGCCUAUCAGCUUGUUGGUGGGGUAAUGGCCUACCAAGGCGUCGACGGGUAGCCGGCCUGAGAGGGUGGACGGCCACAUUGGGACUGAGAUACGGCCCAGACUCCUACGGGAGGCAGCAGUGGGGAAUAUUGCACAAUGGGCGCAAGCCUGAUGCAGCGACGCCGCGUGGGGGAUGACGGCCUUCGGGUUGUAAACCUCUUUCGCUAGGGACGAAGCUUUUUGUGACGGUACCUAGAUAAGAAGCACCGGCUAACUACGUGCCAGCAGCCGCGGUAAUACGUAGGGUGCGAGCGUUGUCCGGAAUUAUUGGGCGUAAAGAGCUCGUAGGUGGUUUGUCGUCGUCGUCUGUGAAAUUCCGGGGCUUAACUUCGGGCGUGCAGGCGAUACGGGCAUAACUUGAGUGCUGUAGGGGAGACUGGAAUUCCUGGUGUAGCGGUGGAAUGCGCAGAUAUCAGGAGGAACACCGAUGGCGAAGGCAGGUCUCUGGGCAGUAACUGACGCUGAGGAGCGAAAGCAUGGGGAGCGAACAGGAUUAGAUACCCUGGUAGUCCAUGCCGUAAACGGUGGGCGCUAGGUGUGAGGGUCUUCCACGACUUUCGUGCCGUAGCUAACGCAUUAAGCGCCCCGCCUGGGGAGUACGGCCGCAAGGCUAAAACUCAAAGGAAUUGACGGGGGCCCGCACAAGCGGCGGAGCAUGUGGAUUAAUUCGAUGCAACGCGAAGAACCUUACCUGGGCUUGACAUAUGCAGGAUCGGCGUAGUGAUACGUUUUCCCUUGUGGUCUGUAUACAGGUGGUGCAUGGUUGUCGUCAGCUCGUGUCGUGAGAUGUUGGGUUAAGUCCCGCAACGAGCGCAACCCUUGUCUUAUGUUGCCAGCACGUGAUGGUGGGGACUCAUGAGAGACUGCCGGGGUUAACUCGGAGGAAGGUGGGGAUGACGUCAAAUCAUCAUGCCCCUUAUGUCCAGGGCUUCACACAUGCUACAAUGGUCGGUACAACGCGCUGCGAGCCUGUGAGGGUGAGCGAAUCGCUGAAAGCCGGCCUCAGUUCGGAUUGGGGUCUGCAACUCGACCCCAUGAAGUCGGAGUCGCUAGUAAUCGCAGAUCAGCAACGCUGCGGUGAAUACGUUCCCGGGCCUUGUACACACCGCCCGUCACGUCAUGAAAGUUGGUAACACCCGAAGCCAGUGGCCUAACCCUUGUGGGGGGCUGUCGAAGGUGGGAUCGGCGAUUGGGACGAAGUCGUAACAAGGUAGCCGUACCGGAAGGUGCGGCUGGAUCACCUCCUUU
rnacentral:rRNA from 1 species